UAGUGGGGUAGGCGAUAGUGAUGUAAACGUAGAUGAUGAUGUAUCUGGGCAUGUAAAUCCUUUAAGGAUAGCCUUUUAUCCCGUAGUGUUGGUAUUUGUGACAUGCUGUAAUGUGUUUUUCUUUUAAUGAAAUUUUUGUUUUGCGUUCAUACUCGAACUAUUCUUUCUUUAUCAUAAAUGAAGUACUUAGAUUGCUUGCU
rnacentral:lncRNA from 1 species